CUGCGAAUAUUCUCGCUGUUCUGAUUUUGUAAUAAUCAGGGCAGGCUAAACUUUUGCUAUAUUAAGACCAUGCAUGUGUCCCCAGACCUAGUUCUUUCCCUAGGUCUGGUUGUAUAAAUACUGAUGAUAAAC
ensembl:snoRNA SNORA72 Small nucleolar RNA SNORA72